CCUCACAAUUGCUGUGUGCUUUUUCUCUCCCUUUGUAUCACUGCGCGCUGCCGUCUGUCAACUGCUGCACACCUGGAUGGUGUUUACGGAAUGACGACCGCUGCGAUGAGUGAGAGCUAGUGUGACAUUGCUAUUUGGCAACUUUGGCUUUGUGCCACUUGCUUUAAAGUGGGGACCGAAGUGGCAAGGAUGAAACAGCUUUGUGCGUGUAAUGCACACUUCAACAAGGAUCAUACAUUCCUGCAUGCCCAGGACAGUGGAAGAAACAUGUUUUGAAGAAUUCUGCUGUCCCAGCACCCCAGGGAAAGAAGCUUAAAGGUACAAACGUCUACAACGCUGACAUCAGGAAGCAGUGAAAGAUUCAAGGUACUUGGAGCGCCAGCUGCAGAAUCUAUAUCAAGCUAACCGGAGGACCAGAAGAGGUCAGACUGCUUGUUGUCAAAGAUAUCACGGAUCUGGAAAGAUCUUUGAAAGAUCACAUCACCGUGACAGCAGGGAAAUGGAGGAUACAACUCGCAAACAAAGAACAAUGCAGUUACAAGGAUUACCUUCAAUAACAUUUGACAUCACUACCACGUUGAAAGGGCCUGCUCAACAAAGAGUACUGGAAUUAGGAACUCAAUUUUCCUACUUUCGAUGACAUUCACAAUAUAACACAAAAGAUUGCAGGACAGGAAGACCUGCUACAUAGACUACAAAUGAUUGGCUUGGAGAAUGAUAUAGAUCCAGACAACAAAAGAAACAUCAGCUCAUACUAC